AGUCGAGGGGCAGCACGGUAUAGCAAUAUAUGGGUGGCGACCGGCAAACGGGUGCGGAACACGUACACAACCUUCCGGUGAGCGGGGGAUAGCCAGAGAAAUUUGGAUUAAUACCCCAUACUAUAAUGAUCAGGCAUCUGGUUAUUAUCAAAGGCUUCGGCCGCUUAUUGAUGGGUGUGCGUCUGAUUAGGUAGUUGGCGGGGUAGAGGCCCACCAAGCCUACGAUCAGUAGCUGAUGUGAGAGCAUGAUCAGCCACACGGGCACUGAGACACGGGCCCGACUCCUACGGGAGGCAGCAGUAAGGAAUAUUGGACAAUGGACGCAAGUCUGAUCCAGCCAUGCCGCGUGAAGGAUGAAUGCCCUCUGGGUUGUAAACUUCUUUUACAGGGGAAGAAAGUUAUCUUUUUUAGGAUAUUUGACGGUACCCUAUGAAUAAGCACCGGCUAACUCCGUGCCAGCAGCCGCGGUAAUACGGAGGGUGCAAGCGUUAUCCGGAUUCACUGGGUUUAAAGGGUGCGUAGGCGGGUAUGUAAGUCAGUGGUGAAAUACCGGAGCUUAACUUCGGAACUGCCAUUGAUACUAUAUAUCUUGAAUAUUGUGGAGGUAAGCGGAAUAUGUCAUGUAGCGGUGAAAUGCUUAGAGAUGACAUAGAACACCGAUUGCGAAGGCAGCUUACUACGCAAAUAUUGACGCUGAGGCACGAAAGCGUGGGGAUCAAACAGGAUUAGAUACCCUGGUAGUCCACGCCCUAAACGAUGAUUACUCGACAUUAGCGAUACGCAGUUAGUGUCUGAGCGAAAGCAUUAAGUAAUC
rnacentral:rRNA from 1 species